rnacentral:rRNA from 1 species
AACGAACGCUGGCGGCGUGCUUAAGACAUGCAAGUCGAACGCGAAAGUCUUCGGAUGAGUAGAGUGGCGCACGGGUGAGUAAUACAUGGGAACGUACCUUUAAGUGGGGGAUAACUACGGGAAACUGUAGCUAAUACCGCAUUAACUCGAGAGAGUAAAGAUGGCCUCUAUUUAUAAGCUAUCGCUUAAAGAUCGGCCCAUGUCCCAUUAGCUAGUUGGCGGGGUAAAGGCCCACCAAGGCUACGAUGGGUAGCUGGUCUGAGAGGACGAUCAGCCACACUGGAACUGAGACACGGUCCAGACUCCUACGGGAGGCAGCAGUCGGGAAUUUUGCACAAUGGGGGAAACCCUGAUGCAGCAACGCCGCGUGAGUGAAGAAGGCCUUUGGGUUGUAAAGCUCUUUCGAUUGGGAAGAAGGGCUACAUGGCUAAUAUCUAUGUAGUUUGACGGUACCAGAAGAAGAAGCACCUGCUAACUACGUGCCAGCAGCCGC